rnacentral:rRNA from 1 species
CCUACGGGGAGCAGCAGUGGGGAAUAUUGGACAAUGGGCGAAAGCCUGAUCCAGCCAUGCCGCGUGUGUGAAGAAGGCCUUCGGGUUGUAAAGCACUUUCAGUGGGGAAGAAAGCCUUGGGGCUAAUACCCUCGAGGAAGGACAUCACCCACAGAAGAAGCACCGGCUAACUCCGUGCCAGCAGCCGCGGUAAUACGGAGGGUGCGAGCGUUAAUCGGAAUUACUGGGCGUAAAGCGCGCGUAGGCGGUCUGAUAAGCCGGUUGUGAAAGCCCCGGGCUCAACCUGGGAACGGCAUCCGGAACUGUCAGGCUAGAGUGCAGGAGAGGAAGGUAGAAUUCCCGGUGUAGCGGUGAAAUGCGUAGAGAUCGGGAGGAAUACCAGUGGCGAAGGCGGCCUUCUGGACUGACACUGACGCUGAGGUGCGAAAGCGUGGGUAGCAAACAGGAUUAGAUACCCCUAUAGUC